GUCACACUGGUUGCGGUGAACCGUGAAUUGCGCGCACGCAAUUUCUGGAGCGACGUUCGGCCCGAACCAAAUCUGCUUGACGCGCUUCAUCAUGUGGCGCUCGGAACCGUUGCCGAUGUGNCAGCGCUGACCGGCCUCAACCGCGCCUUCGUCGCCAAGGGGCUGAUCGCCCUGCGCCGCCGGGAUCAUGUCGGUCACACCGCGCUGAUGGAUGUGGCGCGG
rnacentral:misc_RNA from 1 species